rnacentral:rRNA from 1 species
GACGAACGCUGGCGGCGUGCUUAACACAUGCAAGUCGAACGGCAAGGCCCUGCUUUUGUGGGGUGCUCGAGUGGCGAACGGGUGAGUAACACGUGCGUCACCUGCCCUUCACUUUGGGAUAACUUCAGGAAACUGGGUCUAAUACCGGAUCGGAGCUCCUGCUGCAUGGUGGGGGUUGGAGAGUUUCGGCUGUUGGGGAUGGACUCGGGGCUUAUCGGCUUGUUGGUGGGGUAGUGGCUUACCAAGUCUUUGACGGGUAGCCGGCCUGAGAGGGUGACCGGCGACAUGGGGACUGAGAGACGGACCAGACUCCUACGGGAGGCAGCGGUGGGGAGUAUUGCACAAUGGGCGGAAGCGUGAUGCAGCAACGCUGCGUUCGGGAUGACGGCCUUCGGGUUGUAAACCGCUUUCGCCUGAGACGAAGCGUGAGUGACGGUAAUGGGUAAAGAAGCACCGGCUAACUACGUG